rnacentral:rRNA from 1 species
UGGGGAAUUUUGGACAAUGGGCGCAAGCCUGAUCCAGCCAUGCCGCGUGCGGGAAGAAGGCCUUCGGGUUGUAAACCGCUUUUGUCAGGGAAGAAAUCUUCUGAGUUAAUACCUCGGGAGGAUGACGGUACCUGAAGAAUAAGCACCGGCUAACUACGUGCCAGCAGCCGCGGUAAUACGUAGGGUGCAAGCGUUAAUCGGAAUUACUGGGCGUAAAGCGUGCGCAGGCGGUUUUGUAAGACAGAGGUGAAAUCCCCGGGCUCAACCUGGGAACUGCCUUUGUGACUGCAAGGCUUGAGUGCGGCAGAGGGGGAUGGAAUUCCGCGUGUAGCAGUGAAAUGCGUAGAUAUGCGGAGGAACACCGAUGGCGAAGGCAAUCCCCUGGGCCUGCACUGACGCUCAUGCACGAAAGCGUGGGGAGCAAACAGGAUUAGAUACCCUGGUAGUCCACGCCCUAAACGAUGUCAACUGGUUGUUGGGAAGGUUCCUUCUCAGUAACGUAGCUAACGCGUGAAGUUGACCGCCUGGGGAGUACGGCCGCAAGGUUGAAACUCAAAUGAAUUGACGGGGUCAUAGCUGUUCC